rnacentral:hammerhead_ribozyme from 1 species
AUUAAGCUGACGAGUCCCGAAUAGGACGAAACGCGCAUCAAACUGGAU